GGGUUUCCGGCUCCUCUGGAGCCGGGCAAUAUGAUAGAACUAUCUUUAUUGCUUAAUCUCAAAAGGUAUCUUACAACUAAUAUUUAUAACCUCAAAACGACUAGCCUAAGAUAACUUGCGUAAGAAUUAACCUAAGAUAACUUAUGGGCUAAGAUUGCCCGGUGGGCCUCUACGGCCGUAACAAGUGGCAUGUAUGGAAAGAAAAAUAGUUGUAUAGGGGGACUCGGUAGAGGCCUGCAUGGUUGAAAGAAACACACGUUGGUCAGAUUAUUAUGCAGGAAAAAAAGAAAGGGUAAUUGUGGGACCUGGGAAGUAAUGUGGGGAAACUAGUUGCCAUUACCUUGGAUCAGUCCAAAGGUUGUAGUUUGAUUUUUGAGAUGGUUCCCACUAACCCGCUG
rnacentral:lncRNA from 1 species